rnacentral:rRNA from 1 species
UACGUAGGGGGCAAGCGUUGUCCGGAAUCAUUGGGCGUAAAGCGCGCGUAGGUGGCCCAGUAAGUCCGUUGUGAAAGUCAAAGGCUCAACCUUUGAAAGCCGAUGGAUACUGCUCGACUAGAGUGCGGAAGGGGCAACUGGAAUUCUUGGUGUAGCGGUGAAAUGCGUAGAUAUCAAGAGGAACACCUGCGGCGAAGGCGGGUUGCUGGGCCGACACUGACGCUGAUAGUGCGAAAGCUAGGGGAGCGAACGGG